rnacentral:rRNA from 1 species
GACGUAGGGCACGAGCGUUGUCCGGAUUUAUUGGGCGUAAAGAGCUCGUAGGCGGCUUGUCGCGUCGUCCGUGAAAACUUGGGGCUCAACCCCAAGCUUGCGGUCGAUACGGGCAGGCUCGAGUUCGGUAGGGGAGACUGGAAUUCUGGUGUAGCGGUGAAAUGCGCAGAUAUCAGGAGGAACACCGGUGGCGAAGGCGGGUCUCUGGGCAGUAACUGACGCUGAGGAGCGAAAGCGUGGGGAGCGAACAGG